UAUGAAAAUAGAAGUAUGGAGGGUGAGGCCUGCCCAAUGGUUGUAUCUAAAAGCGGUUGAUAAAAGUCGACCGCGUAAGGACAAUUGAAUGGCCGCGGUAACACUGACCGUGAUAAUGUAGCGUAAUCAAUAGCCAAUUAAUUGUUGGCCAGUAUGAAUGGCGCCACGAAGGCCCCACUGUCUUAAGGAAAUUCCCAGUGAAAUUGAAUUCGUAGUGAAGAUGCUACGUCCAAUUUGUUAGACGAAAAGACCCCGUUGAGCUUUACUGGGGCACUUACACGGCCCCGGCCUUCAAGACUGGGUUGAUAAGCCAAGGCUUACCAUACCUAGGGACCGGCCGAAUUUAAAUGGGCGGCUUAGACUAUGUGGCAGCCCCCCCCGUCGGGGCAGAUGAAACCCCACUCCCCCAUGUCAAAGGGGCUAACCCCCCCCCCUUGGGGGGGACAAUGUAAGUAGGACAGUUUGGUUGGGGCGACCGCCUUUUAGAGAGUAACGAAGGUGCGCUUAAGGUGCGUAAUUAAUGACUGAAGCCUGACUGCGAGG
rnacentral:rRNA from 1 species